CUUGUGGCUGGGGGUGAAAGGCCAAUCAAACCGGGAGAUAGCUGGUUCUCCCCGAAAGCUAUUUAGGUAGCGCCUCGUGAAUUCAUCUCCGGGGGUAGAGCACUGUUUCGGCAAGGGGGUCAUCCCGACUUACCAACCCGAUGCAAACUGCGAAUACCGGAGAAUGUUAUCACGGGAGACACACGGCGGGUGCUAACGUCCGUCGUGAAGAGGGAAACAACCCAGACCGCCAGCUAAGGUCCCAAAGUCAUGGUUAAGUGGGAAACGAUGUGGGAAGGCCCAGACAGCCAGGAUGUUGGCUUAGAAGCAGCCAUCAUUUAAAGAAAGCGUAAUAGCUCACUGGUCGAGUCGGCCUGCGCGGAAGAUGUAACGGGGCUAAACCAUGCACCGAAGCUGCGGCAGCGACGCUUAUGCGUUGUUGGGUAGGGGAGCGUUCUGUAAGCCUGUGAAGGUGUGCUGUGAGGCAUGCUGGAGGUAUCAGAAGUGCGAAUGCUGACAUAAGUAACGAUAAAGCGGGUGAAAAGCCCGCUCGCCGGAAGACCAAGGGUUCCUGUCCAACGUUAAUCGGGGCAGGGUGAGUCGACCCCUAAGGCGAGGCCGAAAGGCGUAGUCGAUGGGAAACAGGUUAAUAUUCCUGUACUUGGUGUUACUGCGAAGGGGGGACGGAGAAGGCUAUGUUGGCCGGGCGACGGUUGUCCCGGUUUAAGCGUGUAGGCUGGUUUUCCAGGCAAAUCCGGAAAACCAAGGCUGAGGCGUGAUGACGAGGCACUACGGUGCUGAAGCAACAAAUGCCCUGCUUCCAGGAAAAGCCUCUAAGCAUCAGGUAACAUCAAAUCGUACCCCAAACCGACACAGGUGGUCAGGUAGAGAAUACCAAGGCGCUUGAGAGAACUCGGGUGAAGGAACUAGGCAAAAUGGUGCCGUAACUUCGGGAGAAGGCACGCUGAUAUGUAGGUGAAGUCCCUCGCGGAUGGAGCUGAAAUCAGUCGAAGAUACCAGCUGGCUGCAACUGUUUAUUAAAAACACAGCACUGUGCAAACACGAAAGUGGACGUAUACGGUGUGACGCCUGCCCGGUGCCGGAAGGUUAAUUGAUGGGGUUAGCGGCAACGCGAAGCUCUUGAUCGAAGCCCCGGUAAACGGCGGCCGUAACUAUAACGGUCCUAAGGUAGCGAAAUUCCUUGUCGGGUAAGUUCCGACCUGCACGAAUGGCGUAAUGAUGGCCAGGCUGUCUCCACCCGAGACUCAGUGAAAUUGAACUCGCUGUGAAGAUGCAGUGUACCCGCGGCAAGACGGAAAGACCCCGUGAACCUUUACUAUAGCUUGACACUGAACAUUGAGCCUUGAUGUGUAGGAUAGGUGGGAGGCUUUGAAGUGUGGACGCCAGUCUGCAUGGAGCCGACCUUGAAAUACCACCCUUUAAUGUUUGAUGUUCUAACGUGGGCCCCUAAUCGGGGUUGCGGACAGUGUCUGGUGGGUAGUUUGACUGGGGCGGUCUCCUCCUAAAGAGUAACGGAGGAGCACGAAGGUUGGCUAAUCCUGGUCGGACAUCAGGAGGUUAGUGCAAUGGCAUAAGCCAGCUUGACUGCGAGCGU
rnacentral:rRNA from 1 species